rnacentral:misc_RNA from 1 species
GUGAAUCAUCGAAUUUUUGAACGCAAAUUGCACUCUUUUCGGAGAGUAUGCCUGUUUGAGGGUCAGUAUUAAUAAAUUCGGUGUUGCUUUUUUGUGACGUCCCUGAGAUUGGGCUAGCUUUACCUUUUGGGUUUAAGAGGCUUAAAAUUGUUCUUUUUUGCGCACUUUUGGCUGUUCAUAAAUUUUUUUCUCGUCUAUUCUGGUGGCAAAUUUCUUAUUAGGUGUGAUCAUCUAAUGAUCUCGUGCCCAUAAUUUCU